CGAGGAUUUCAGAUCUACAAACCUUUUCACGAGUUACCUCUCCUAACUCCGUAGAUCUGAAGUCAAAGUUCGGUCUUCGUCAAACUCCGGCGAGCUUUUCCGGCGAAACCGUGGACUUCCGGCGAAAACCGACACCACCAUGGAGUUCCUCUCUUCGAGCUCUACGUCGUGGUGUGGUGGAUUGCAUGAAUCCGAUGUCGGCUCCGUCGUC
rnacentral:lncRNA from 1 species